AAACUAGAAAUUCAUAAGGAUAAAAAGUAUUGCUUCUGAGAUGGAAGGAAAGACAGAAGAAGAAGUAGAAAGAUAUGCAGAAGUUUUCAGAGAGCGAUACAAGGAGUUGAAUGAUUAUGACAGAAUUAUAAAAAACAUUGAAAGAGGUGAGUCAAGAAUAGCUCGGAAAGAUGAGAUCAUGAAAGCUAUUGGGAAGAAGUUGGACCGCUACAAGAAUCCUUGGCUAGAGUUGAAGAUACAAUAUGGACAAAACAAAGGGAAAUUAUACAAUGAAGAAUGUGAUCGAUUCAUGAUAUGCAUGACUCACAAACUUGGAUAUGGGAAUUGGGAUGAAUUGAAGGCGGCAUUUCGAAUGUCACCCUUGUUUCAUUUCGAAUAACAAGGAGAGAUGUGACACCCUCAUUCGGUUGGUAGAGAAGGAAAAUCAAGAAUAUGAUGAAAGGGAGAGACAAGCUCGUAAAGAAAAGAAACUUGCCACUAAGAGUUCGACUCCAUCAAAGCGCCCCUUGCCAAGACAGGCAGAGAGUCCAUCUCUGAAGAAGCGGAAGCAAUUAACGAUGGAUCACUAUGUAAGCUCGGGGAAGAGAAAAAAAUAAAUGGACGAAUGCCCUACAUUCCGGUAAAUGAGAGGGGUUGUUUGUAGGUUGACUUCUGAUUUUAAAGCCUUGGUGACUUUGAUAUGGCCUAGUAAACAUCUCUAUUGAUCGUAGCGUGGCUUCUGGCUUCCCAAGUUUGGUGCUAGGGGCUUCUACCUAACACUCUAAUUUUACCUCUUACACCUUCCUUUCUGCAUUCUUAUUUUUUUACUCUCCACAGCGCUGCUUUGCCUAAUGUGUUCGAUGAUCCCACGUCAUUAACCGAGGAGGAGAUGUAUGAAUUGCGAAACAGCUGGGCUACUUGUUUUCUUGACCUGUACAAUCCCGAGGUAGAUUAUGAUGUUUCCGAUGAUGAGGUUUAGGAGCUAGCUAGUUACAAUGGAUUCACAUUAAUUAGGAUGUUUUGAAUUGUAAUGACUUGUAUUUUGCUUGAAUGUUAUAACAUUUUGGAUUGUUGGUAUUUUGCUUGAAUUGUAAGACUUGGUAUUUUAUUUG